rnacentral:rRNA from 1 species
UAGGGAAUCUUCCACAAUGGACGCAAGUCUGAUGGAGCAACGCCGCGUGAGUGAAGAAGGUUUUCGGAUCGUAAAGCUCUGUUGUUGGUGAAGAAGGAUAGAGGUAGUAACUGGCCUUUAUUUGACGGUAAUCAACCAGAAAGUCACGGCUAACUACGUGCCAGCAGCCGCGGUAAUACGUAGGUGGCAAGCGUUGUCCGGAUUUAUUGGGCGUAAAGCGAGCGCAGGCGGAAGAAUAAGUCUGAUGUGAAAGCCCUCGGCUUAACCGAGGAACUGCAUCGGAAACUGUUUUUCUUGAGUGCAGAAGAGGAGAGUGGAAUUCCAUGUGUAGCGGUGGAAUGCGUAGAUAUAUGGAAGAACACCAGUGGCGAAGGCGACUCUCUGGUCUGCAACUGACGCUGAGGCUCGAAAGCAUGUGUAGCGAACAGG